rnacentral:lncRNA from 1 species
GACAGAGUUAACAUUAUUAAUUUUUGCAUUUAUAAUUUAAUUUAUGAAAUAAUUAAUAUUCUUUAAAUGUGGAGCACGUUUUCACCUGGUUAUCGUCGAAGAUUAAAUUUAAAUUGAUUGCUGAGGAUACUAAAUUUAGAAGAGUGCAAUUCUCAAACCGUAUUAAAGAUGCUUUGUCAAGAAAUAAAGUAGUAAGGGAAAGAGUGUUUCCAGUUUGCUUUCCUUCAAAAAGUUCUCAUACUGGUCAUUUUACUAGAAAUGAUACUUAUUACUUAAGUAUAAAGACGUCCGAAACUUGUGUUGUUUAAAGAAUCUUAAUGUAAGUAAAGAUGUUACUACAAAAUAAUAACAGUUUAUGUGAUUAGGAAAUUAUUUGUUUAUUUAGUAUAAGGUUUAAGUCUAUAAUAUAUUUUUUGAGUUAUU